CAAAAGUCUACGCCUGCCAUUCUCUGCUAGCUCUCUCCGCCUCGCCUUUGUGGACCGAGAUGCAAGCUCUCAGCUCCGGCUCCAGCGCCAUGCCUGCAGGCUGCCAUGCUCCCCACAACAAUGGCCAUGGACUCUCUGAAAUAGGCUCUCACUACGCAGCACAGCAAGUUUGGAACUCAUAAUCCACCGACCUCGGCCUCCUGAGUGCUGGCCUUACAGGCGAAGAAGGUCAACAUGUCCGGCUGGAUGCUGAUUUUAAUUUUUAUUACUUUAAGAUUGGUAAAACCUAAG
rnacentral:lncRNA from 1 species